GUCGGCCUUCUACUGGAAUUUGCCGCUACACAAGCCAUUGCCACUUCCACCGUCUUCCAAACAGAGUUUGUUUCAUAUUGCCCUUCUAAUCUUGGGUCCACUAUACUCUGAAUAUCUCCUUGCGCCAGCAAAGAGGUAAAGGAAUCAAGUUGAUGGCUAGUUGAAACUAGUGCUUACUCUGGAUCAAGAUAACCAGGAGUGCCAGCAACAACCGUGGACAUGUGGGUGUUGCCAUCUGUGGGAAAGCUUUUGGAAAGACCAAAAUCUGCAAGUUUGCCUUGGAAAUUAUCUGUCAACAAGAUGUUUGUUGUUUUCACAUCUCUGUGGACUAUGGGUGGCUUACAACCAUAAUGCAGGGAAAUCUCAAGGAAAAAGACAGAGACCAAGUCCAAUAAUUUAAUGCCCGACUGGGAAUGCAAGUUGAGUCAAGUUUUAUGGCAGAGAAUAAUUUGCAUCUAUUUACGAAUUAGCCUCUGCAAAAAUAAAGCCGUGCUAGGAACAAUUAAAUUCUUUAACCUUGAAUAAAGUAAGUAUAUAUCAUCUUUCAUUUGUCAAAAACUUUCAGUAGGCCACAAUUGCAGGAAGAGUAUUAUGGAGAAAAACCUCACAAUUAUUCUCACAACUAGUUGUUUUGAAAUGGAACUCUAAAUUGAUUUAAUAUGACAUUAAAACCAAUGAAACCCGAAUGGAUAGGAGUGUUCCAUCCCAGAAAAAAGAUACGAUCCAAGAUUGGUUGAAUCUAUAGAGGUACUAUUUUGAGAGGCAUCUGUAGAGGUACUAUUUUGAGUUUCUCUUUUCAUUGUUAGUUGACUUUGAGAUAAAA